GAUCAUGGCUCAGAACGAACGCUGGCGGCGCGUUUUAAGCAUGCAAGUCGAGCGGCAAGGGCCUUCGGGCCCCUAGAGCGGCGGACGGGUGAGUAACACGUGGACAAUCUGCCCCCCGGCCCGGGAUAGCCCAGGGAAACCUGGAUUAAUACCGGAUGAGACGGGACCCGCGAUGGCGGGAUCCGGGAAAGGCGCUGCGGCGCCGCCGGGGGAUGAGUCUGCGUCCCAUUAGCUAGACGGCGGGGUAACGGCCCACCGUGGCGACGAUGGGUAGCCGGCCUGAGAGGGUGGACGGCCACAUUGGAACUGAGACACGGUCCAGACUCCUACGGGAGGCAGCAGCUAAGAAUCUUCCGCAAUGGGCGAAAGCCUGACGGAAGCGACGCCGCGUGAACGAAGAAGGCCGUGAGGUUGUAAAGUUCUUUUCGGGAGGGGGAACAACCGUGGCAGGGAAUGGCCGCGGGAUGACGUGAAUCCCGGAAUAAGCCCCGGCUAACUACGUGCCAGCCGCCGC
rnacentral:rRNA from 1 species